rnacentral:rRNA from 1 species
CAGCCGCCGCGGUAAUACGUAGGUGGCAAGCGUUGUCCGGAAUUAUUGGGCGUAAAGCGCGCGCAGGUGGUUCCUUAAGUCUGAUGUGAAAGCCCACGGCUCAACCGUGGAGGGUCAUUGGAAACUGGGGGACUUGAGUGCAGAAGAGGAAAGUGGAAUUCCAAGUGUAGCGGUGAAAUGCGUAGAUAUUUGGAGGAACACCAGUGGCGAAGGCGACUUUCUGGUCUGUAACUGACACUGAGGCGCGAAAGCGUGGGGAGCAAACAGGAUUAGAUACCCCUGUAGUCCCUGUCUCUUAUAC